GCUGAUAAUGGAGAGAUAGACUGUUUCUCAACCAUGGCAAGUACACCAAUUUUAACAGUAAAGACCCUUCAUAUCAAUUCAGCGAUUCUUGCUGCAAGAAGUCGUUUCUUUCUAAAGCUUUUCUCAAAUGGCAUGAAUGAAUCUGAUCAGACGCAUCCAAGAAUCAGGAUUGCUGAUUCAGAGGAAAAUGCCUUUAUGGAGCUUUUAAGCUUCAUGUACAGUGGAAAGUUGACAACAAUUGAGCCCACUCUUCUGCUUGACAUCUUAAUGGCUUCCGACAAAUUUGAGGUUCUUUCUUGCAUGAGGUACUGCAGUCAGUUGCUCAGAAGCCUGCCUAUGACCACAGAAUCUGCACUGCUAUACCUAGACCAUCCAUGCUCCCUUUCAAUGGCUGUUGAAGUUCAGGGUGUGGUAGGUGCAGCCAGGGAAUUCCUUGCUGAGAAAUACAAGAUUUUAGACAAGUUUGAAGAAUUGAUGAACAUCUCUCUUUCUGGAAUCGAGGUGAUCUUUUCAAGCACUGACAUACAAGUAGCAUCUGAAGAUGCGGUAUAUAACUUCUUGCUCGAGUGGGCCCGUGCGCGAUACCUGGAACCGGAGGAAAGACGUGAGAUCUUGAGCAGCCGUUUGCUUCCGCUGGUAAGCUUCAGUCAUAUGACAUGUGCGGCACUUCAGGAGAUCCUAGCAUCCACUGAUGAUGACAUAGACCGUGAGCAAGUAACCAAGCGCAUCAAUGAGGUCCUUCUUCACAAAGCUUACCCAACCCAGAUGGAAGGUGCUCUUGCAGCAGAUGCAUCAACUCUCAAUUGGCAGUCUGCUGAGCGAACUUACGGGUCCAAACAUGUGAAAGCGGUUGCAUUUGAUCGACCUUACCCACAGGUUAUAGUUUACAUGGAUCUAAAGCGCGACGAGUGCUCCCAAUUCUUCCCAUCAGGAGUUAUAUUGUCAGACUGGUUCCAUCUCGCAGGUCAGAAAUUCUAUCUCAUGGCAAACUGUGUACUGGAUGAGCAGACAGAGUUGUACAGCUUUGGCCUCUGGUUAGGGAUAUAUGGAAAUUCUAUUUCAGGCUCGCUGUGUUUCGAUAUUGAGUUUGCUGCAAGGACAAGAUCGUCAGGAAAAUUCUUGAGCAAGUACGGCGGUAGGCACACAUUCAGCGGGCCUUUGCUGGAGGGAUGCGAUGAUCUUUUUGGAGUUCCAUGGUCGACGUUCAUUGCGGACGACAGCCUCUUCAUCGACGGCGUGCUGCAUCUGAGAGUUGAUCUGACUGCGGUGGAGUAG
rnacentral:rRNA from 1 species